GUUAAUUGCGACCUGAAAAAACUGCGCAGAGAGUUCUUUCACUGGGCAGUGCAUCCGUCUCGCUGGUCUAUUCUUCAUCAUGGGUCUGGUCUUUGCAGCCAGUUUCCUGGAAUGGCUUUCAAUAUUUAUUAUCGUCUGCACUUCUAUUUGGUAUUAUUUUAAAUUAAAAUAUAGUUUCUGGAAAACGAAAGGUGUGAGAUUCAUUACACCGGCAAUACCAUUUGGUAACAUAAAAGAUAUGAUUCUGCUGCGCAAGUCAACAACAGAAAUGACAAAAGAACUUUACGAUGCUUUCCCAGAAGAACGCUUUGUGGGAUUAUUUGAAGGAAUGAAACCGAUGAUUCUUAUUAGAGACCUGGAACUGAUUAAACACGUGAUGGUGAAGGACUUUUCCUACUUCCAGGACCGUGGGUUAGUAAGUAGCGAGGAAAUCGAACCUCUGAGUGCCCAUCUAUUCAACUUAACAGGCAAGAGAUGGAGAAGCCUUCGUACCAGGCUCACACCCACCUUCACAUCAGGGAAAAUAAAAAUGAUGUACCACCUGAUGACUGAGUGUGCUCAUCAAUUGAAAGAAUACCUGGAGAGAUCUGCACAAAAUGGUGAAAUGCUGGAAAUGAAAGAAGUCAUGGCAAAGUUUACAACCGAUGUAAUUGGUCUUUGUGCUUUUGGACUUCAGUCUAAUGCAAUUAAUAAUUCUGAUUCUGAAUUUCAUCGAAUGGCAAGACAAGUGUUUUGUUCAUCUCCAUUAAAAGGUGUGGUAGCUGUGUUACAAAUCGCUUUUCCUUCUUUGAUGAAAAUAUUUCCUAUCAAACAUUUACCAGCUGUGGUUAGUAAAUUUUUUCUGAGAACAGUAAAGGAAGUGAUGGAGUAUCGUGAGAAAAACAACGUAUCCCGUAAUGAUUUCAUGCAGCUGCUCAUUGAACUGAAGAAUAAGGGGAGGGUACACGAUGAUGAACCUGUGAAGUCAGAAGACAAGUUGGACAGGACGUCUCAUAAGGAGUCAGAAACCAAUGUUGAAUUCACAGACAAUUUGCUAGCAUCGCAAGCAUUUAUCUUCUUCGUCGCUGGGUUUGAAACAUCAUCUACAGCACUGAGUUUCUGUUUAUAUGAACUGGCACUAAAUCCUGAAGUACAAGAGCGGCUGAGGGAUGAAAUUGAUUCUACUCUGGAAAAGUAUGAAGGGAAGAUAACGUAUGACGCAAUACAGAGCAUGUCUUACCUUGACAAGGUGGUUGCUGAAACUCUCAGAAAAUAUCCUCCACUUCCAUCUCUGUUUCGCGCAGUAACAAAACCCUAUGUAAUUCCUGGGACAUCUGUACGUCUUCAUGUGGGAAUGAAGGUCAUGAUACCUGUAUGUGGAUUACAUUAUGAUCCACAAUAUUUUCCUGAACCUGAGAUCUUUAAUCCUGAAAAUUUUAGUGAUGAUAGUAGAGCAAGGAGACCACACAAUGCAUACCUACCCUUUGGAGAUGGACCAAGAAACUGCAUCGGAAUGCGAUUUGGAUUACUGCAGGCAAAGUUGGGGCUCUGUGUUCUCCUCUCCAACUUUAAAUUCAGUGUCUGUGACAAAACACAGCUGCCUAUAAAACUAGAUCCUAAAAUAAUGGUCAUGGCCUCAGAAUCAGGAAUAUGGUUGAGAAUCAACAAACGUGAUAUGUAAACACACUUUCCAGCUUGGUGUCCAGUAUAUUCAGAGGGCCUGGAAGGUUGUGGGCUCAAGUGACGACAUCAGCCAGUCAGCCAUCACACCUAGUCCAUAGCAAUCGGUCUUCGGAGUCAUCGGCAGUUCACUGCCUCAGGGACGGCUGCCUCGCCUCUCCGGCGGUCAUGCCCCACUCACUGGGCAACUGGCGCAGCUGCCGCCACUCCAGCGACAGCGCUCCACGACCGUACGUCUUCCAGCAACUGCCGCACUGUGACCACACAACUUCCGACAACUGCCGCACUGCGGCCAGACAACUAACUCAGCUGCCGCAACAUUAGCCAACACACCGUAACCAACAUCUAUUUCUACCGGCGCACACGGCCCUACAUCACCGGUCUUUCAAACAGGCCUACUAUCAAGGAACGAACUGCACUUUUCAGGGCCCUCGAACUUUCCGAAGUGGUUGUCUAUUGGAGUACCGACAAAAUCCCACAAAACUUUAUUCAUAAUAUAAUUUUUUUGAUGGAAAGAAUUAGACUAUGUUUGAUGGAGGUUUUGUGAGAAGCUUAUAGUCCUUAAUUUGGACUGAUUGUAUAAACAAACGGAGAUAUACAAAAUAUAUAUAUAUAUGUAGGGAGAUAGAAACAGCGGUCGCUUAAAUGUCGUCUUAAGGAAAAAAUUAUAAUAUCCGGUUUGAGACGCUUUGGGUUCUUGCUGCGUAGGAACCGACAUAUUCACUACUUUACGGUUAUGAGGGAUGCAUGUUUUUAAGUUGUUUUCAUCAUAAUAGAAGACUUGCACAUUACGUUUUCGAUCUCGGAUUGAAUGUGUGCUGCACCUUUGAGGAAUUUAAUGAAAUAAUUGUGGGCAAUAGGCCCACUCAUAGGCAUGAUGAUAAUAUAUUUGCUAAUAGUGACAAUAUAAUUUCUUAUUAUAUAGUGAUGAGUUUGUGAAUUUUGUAGAGCGUGUUCUUUGAAGUUUUAUUUAUGCAUUAAAUUCUAUGUUC